rnacentral:rRNA from 1 species
GUAACGAAUAUUCCGCAAUGGGCGCAAGCCUGACGGAGCGACGCCGCGUGGAGGACGAAGCCCUUCGGGGUGUAAACUCCUGUCAGGGGUAAGCAACCCACUGAGCUACCCCAGAGGAAGGGGCGACUAACUCUGUGCCAGCAGUCGCGGUAAUACAGAGGCCCCAAGCGUUAAGCGGAGUCACUGGGCUUAAAGGGUGCGUAGGCGGGCCGGCAAGUGCUUUGUGAAAUCCCCUGGCUCAACCAGGGAACCGCUUGGCAGACUGCCGGUCUUGAGGUCGGUAGGGGCGGCUGGAACUCUAGGUGGAGCGGUGAAAUGCGUAGAUAUCUAGAGGAACGCCCAAGGUGAAGACAGGCCGCUGGGCCGAUGCUGACGCUGAGGCACGAAAGCGUGGGGAGCAAACGGGAUUAGAAACCCCGGUAGUCC